CUUCCGGUUGAUCCCGCCGGACCCGACUGCUAUCAGAGUGGGACUAAGCCAUGCGAGUCAACGUAGCAAUACGUGGCAUACGGCUCAGUAACACGUAGUCAACAUGCCCAGGGGACGAGGAUAACCUCGGGAAACUGAGGAUAAACCUCGAUAGGCCAUGAUUUCUGGAAUGAUUCUUGGCUCAAACCUAUAUGGCCCCUGGAUUGGACUGCGGCCGAUCAGGCUGUUGGUGAGGUAAUGGCCCACCAAACCUAUUACCGGUACGGGCUCUGAGAGGAGGAGCCCGGAGAUGGGCACUGAGACAAGGGCCCAGGCCCUAUGGGGCGCAGCAGGCGCGAAACCUCUGCAAUAGGCGAAAGCCUGACAGGGUUACUCUGAGUGAUUUUCGUUAAGGAGAUCUUUUGGCACCUCUAAAAAUGGUGCAGAAUAAGGGGUGGGCAAGUCUGGUGUCAGCCGCCGCGGUAAUACCAGCACCCCGAGUGGUCGGGACGUUUAUUGGGCCUAAAGCAUCCGUAGCCGGUUCUGCAAGUCCCCCGUUAAAUCCAGCUGCUCAACAGAUGGGCCGCGGAGGAUACUACAGAGCUAGGAGGCAGGAGAGGCAAGCGGUACUCAGUGGGUAGGGGUAAAAUCCGUUGAUCCAUUGAAGACCACCAGUGGCGAAGGCGGCUUGCCAGAAUGCGCUCGACGGUGAGGGAUGAAAGCUGGGGGAGCAAACCGGAUUAGAUACCCGGGUAGUCCCAGCCGUAAACGAUGCAGACUCGGUGAUGAGUUGGCUUAUUGCUAACUCAGUGCCGCAGGGAAGCCGUUAAGUUUGCCGCCUGGGGAGUACGGUCGCAAGACUGAAACUUAAAGGAAUUGGCGGGGGAGCA
rnacentral:rRNA from 1 species